CUGGGUGUAGCGCAGUUGGUAGCGCGCUACCUUGGGGUGGUAGAGGCCGGAGGUUCAAAUCCUCUCACUCAGACCA
rnacentral:tRNA from 1 species